CCAAUAGCGUAUAUUAAAGUUGUUGCAGUUAAAAAGCUCGUAGUUGAAUUUCAGGCCUGGCUGGGCGGUCCGCCCUUCGGGUGAGUACUGCCUGUGGUCGGGUCCUACCUUCUGGCGAAGCGUCAUGGCCUUCACCGGCCGUGGCGGGGAACCAGGACUUUUACUGUGAAAAAACUAGAGUGUUCAAAGCAGGCAAUCGCUUGGAUACAUUAGCAUGGAAUAAUGGAAUAGGACAGUGGUUCUAUUUGUUGGUUUCUAGGACCGUUGUAAUGAUUAAUAGGGAUAGUUGGGGGCAUUAGUAUUCAAUUGUCAGAGGUGAAAUUCUUGGAUUUAUUGAAGACUAACUACUGCGAAAGCAUUUGCCAAGGAUGUUUUCAUUAAUCAAGAACGAAAGUUAGGGGAUCGAAGACGAUCAGAUACCGUCGUAGUCUUAACCAUAAACUAUGCCGACUAGGAAUCGGGCGAUGUUGACAAAAUGACGCGCUCGGCACCUCAUG
rnacentral:rRNA from 1 species